UACGCUGUGUAGGGUGCCAGAAGUUUGAGAGGGUAAAGACUGUGGUGCCGGAGUUGAAGCCCAUCAAAGGUGUUUCACCAUGGCUCAUGAUCGAGGUGGAUCUCAUCGGACCCUUCACGAAAUCCAGUAAUGGCAACAGCUGCUGUCUGACGGCGACCGAUCACUUUACCAAGUGGGUGGAGGCAAUACCCAGUAAGGACGAAACUGGCGAGGCCACAUCCAAGGCGAUGAUGGACAUCUUCAACACCUGAGGUCCUCUUGAGUGACUGAGGUCAUGAACGCUGGAUCAAGGUUUGGUGAAUGGACCAACGAGACCCUCAAGACUGCAAUGGGCAAGUCCUUUGGCGGGUACCAGGAAUGGUGGGAGAACAACCUGAAGGUGAAACUGAACAUCGAAAAGGUACAGGAGAAACAGAAGGAGAGCUACCGGAGCAGAAUCAAGAAGGGGAACAAGUGAUUCGAUAUCCGGGCGAAUUACUUGCUUUGGAAGAAGUAGGAAAGGAAGGCGAGACCUGGGAAACCUCACUGCACUUUCGCUCCUAGCUGGGGUCACCAUCUGUCAAAGUAUGUUAAGCUUUGGUUGACAUUCGAGAAAGCAGGAAAUGGUAGUUAUGCUGAGCUUAUAAAAACUCUCCAAAUGGUUUUAGGACCAUCGACUGUCCAAGACCCCCAGGAGGUAUCCCAUCCACCAGAGCCAGUGAGUUCAGAUCAGUCUGAUUCUCUGUGCUCGUGAGUGUGAGGGGGACCAGCUUGCGGUAGGCUAUACCAUCCAAAACUCUUUAAAAGUACAUACAGCAUAUGCCAUUUAUAACACUGCACUUAACCAUCAAAUAUUCUCACAGCAAAGGCUAACUUGUGUGUUUGCUUGUUUACGUCUGUCUCCUACCCUGUUCCCUUUAACUCUGCCCCACACCCAGACAUGGAUCCACCUGAUGUCCUCCAUUACCAAUCACCCUCCAACGUUUCAUUCCAUCAUCUACAGUUAAUGUCAUUGUCAUUAAUUGCUAAGAAAGUUUUCUUGCUCUAUCAUACUGGGCACAGUACUGAGAUACACAGACUAAUUAAAAACACUAGCACUGCAAACACUCAGAACAAAGAGAGUAGCAGUGACUGGACUUUGCAGUCUCCCUCUUCAAGUCCCCCAUCUGAGACUGGCUGCCUGUGGAGAACAAGUGACAGGCAGAACCUCAAACCCACACAGCAACCACCUCCUCUAUAUUCCACACACCAGAGUUCAGACUUUUAGUCUAAGAUUGAGUGUUCAAAAAAAUCAGUGAAAAUAAAUGAAUGACACAACUGUACCAAAAAUAAUAUCUAAGUUUAUGUAUUACAAUCUUAAAUAUUGCCAGGUUGGUUUUCACAGAUGUUGUAAGGUAUCCUUUGGUGGAAUUGAUUUGUUCCACAUUAUUCUUUGUUGUUUCCUAGGACCUACAAUAGAUGCAUAUAUAUUCAACCACAAGGGUGUACUAAUGAGCUAUGCGAGAUAGGGGGAAAAAUGAAUCGUAAUAGAGGACUACUGAAAAUAUUAUUUCAGUGUAGGGAAGGGCAGGUGAAAAUAAAAACAUACCAGCCAGACAAGCCAGUGUAUGAAUCAAACAGAUUAGCAUAUGAAUGGAGUGGAAAUUAGCUGACUAUUUCCAAAAACAUAGCACAGUUUAAGACAUGGAUUUCAUGUUAAAAAAGGUGCCCAAAAGUAGUUUGAAGUAAUGUUUUCAUUUUGUUAGCUAAACAAAACUUGUUUAAACAGCGGAAAUUAUCACGGAAAUCAGCCUUGUUGGUAUAGCGAUGAUGAAAAGAACGUAAUUUAGGCUGUAAUGAUUUCCAAAUUCGAAUCAUUAGGUCAUCACACCGUUGAUAUAGCAACGUAUGCUAAUAGUUUAUCGAAUGCCAUUGUGACGCACGGGGUGGGGGGGCAAUAUUUGGGAUCACGUGCCCUGCAUGUCCUGCCUGGUCAGUAUUCGGCCAUGAUAGCUGGCUAGACUAACUUACCAAUCAAAAAACUGUUAGCUGACAUGGCUAAUUGAGCGACUGUCAGUGACUGACAUAAUGAGGCAAAACCUUCUGAUGCACAACAAAAUUUGAGAGCCCGACAGAGUAGAAAAGAAAAAAAAAGCCUCGGGGCCUUUGAUUUGUAAUCCGACGUUACAACUGGGAGAAGGCAUAUGAAAAGGGAACAGCCAGCAAUUUCAUCAACCGUGAUCUUGUCUCACUGUGAUAUUUUUUAGCCCGGAAUUGGAACUCUCAACAUGAAAAAUUACUAAAUAAUUUAGUCGAAUUGAAACGAGACCACUUUCCAUUGGUCACAAAGGGACAAAAUCACUUCAUCCGCAAAGCUGAAGUUGUAACGAAUUUGCAGACAUUGGAAUGGUAUCUACGUCACUCAGAGGAAGCCUGGCAAAAAAAUGCUUUGUCGUCAGUUGUGUGAAAUGGGGCCAAAUUUGUACUGUCACUAAAUGUGAUCAUCUUUAUUUUACAGUUAUAAGAAAGGUAAAUUGUUAAUAAUUUGUUACUAUAUUUCUGAAGCAUUUCAGUCAUUUUAAGCCCUAUUACCCUUCUUUUGUUGAAAAGGAAAACAAUUAUAAUUUUUUUUUUUACCUCUACUACGUUAAGGCAAAAUAUAGAUGUCAGCGUAAAUUGACAUACCCUAAAGUAAUAAUUUUUCAUUAGAUGGCCAUCAACAAUAACUAAUUCUGCAUAGUUCUAGAAAGGUCUGGAACUCACCGUUCUGGUAACAAGUGUUAUAAAUUGCUGAGGUGUAUUCUCUUCUCAGUGCACAAACUCAAGUACAUAGUACUAAUAAUAUGAGAAACCUUUGCUAUGAGCACAGUGCCUAGACCAGCACCUUGAGGCAAUUAUGCUGAAGGAGUGACUUCAGCUGUCUGGUACAAGUACGCAAUGCAAAAAAUAUAUAUAUUUCACUGUCCUUACCCAAGACCACGUGAAUACUCACAAUGCUAAAUAAAUACUAUGCAAAAGCAAUUAUGAGAACAGACCCACUCAAGUACACCAAACUCCAGUCCCAUUGAUGGGUUCCAAGUCCAUUAGAAACACUUGCCCACUUCCAUUAUCUUACCUCAAACUUUUAGAAGAUAUGUAGCAUAGCAUGCAGUACUGCUGCAAUUUCACCCUGGUACAGAACUCUCCUAAGAUAGCUCAGUGGUUUGAAGCAUCGGUUAUCCUCUAAAUGUAUCUAUACAUCAUUAAACAGAUGUGUUUGUAAGAGUUGAUUGAUCUAUCCAAUGAACCAUCCUUAAGUACUCUGAUGGGUACAGAGAGACACAGACACAGAACAAAGGGGCUGCCAGCAGUAAAAUGUUUCCCUGUCAAAAGGCUAGAUUAUGUGUAUUGUUAUGACACCACAUUUCUAAAUAAAAGGUAUUCUCAGGCACAAUUAGAUGACCUAUUCUCGGGGAAAUAAAUUCAUUUAACGUUGGGAUUUAAAAAAUAUUUUACACGUGAGUUCCUAAGAAUUGUUUUAUGUUCUUUAUCAUUUUAAAUGUUUACUUGGCAGAUCAUUGACUUCUUUUGGUUGCUUUGUGUAGAGCUGUAGAAAGGUGACAAAUGAAGUACGAUGCAUUCCUUCCUUGCCUAUACACCAACUCAAAUACCCACACACUACAAUCCCAGUCCAUUAGAAAAUCAUGACCCCCUUUAGUAUCUCAGUAAACAUGUAUUUAUUGUGGUUUGCCCGUUUUCAAGUGUCACUUCUGCCUAUAGGGGGUCGCCCUCACUAAGCCACACCUCCAAUAUAAUUUUUCAGAAUGCCUUGCCUUUUUGAGUGAAUUGUACCACCCAUGACUGUAUUUGUUAGUGUCAUGGUUCUUGAAUUCAUCAGUAAAAAAUAAAAUAAA